GGUACGCGUGCUCGUCCAUGCAAUUGAGGAAGUGGAGGCGAUGAACUCGCGCGGUCACCACGCUCACAUACACAUACACACACGCACAUGAGCCAAAAGACCAGAAUGGGGAAUGGAAUGGUGCCCCCCCCCAACUUAUUUGUCGUGCAAGGGUCGCAGGGUGUGGAAUCAGCUGUGAGCUCUAAAUCCACGCGGAUCUUUUGCAAGAUUCAUGUGCAGGGGCGUCAAGGGGGAAUCAGUAUUCCGGAGGACGAGGAGAAAUGGGUCGUCAAGAGAGACACGCUCGGUUUUAUUGCCGAGGCUUCUAAAAAGCAAUCAUCUCUCUGGAGGAAUUGAUAUCAGCAUGGGCCAAAUGGCAUCUCCUUCUUUGACAUUUUGUCAAAAGUUUGAUGCAACAGCCAUUUCCCAAGUUCCCCACCAGCCUAGUGCAAAACAUGAUGAUGAUGAUGAUGAUGAUGACACUGGCUAUUUUGUACGGCGGGGGAAGUGAGGUUAUGCCCCAUUAUAUCGAGCAGAUGACACAGGUGAGGAAAAAAUUACCUUACUUAUCCUUAAACAGCUUUUUUGUAUCUGCAUUUAAUGGGCUAAAAUUCACAUUUUCCACCUUUUCUCAACAUUUUAUGGAUAACGGUUGUGUAUUUCUACUCCGGUAUCUCUUGGGAAAGCUCCAGACUAACCUAUAUAUCUCAAUGUUGCUGUUGUGUGUUUAGUGUGAGUCAGUCUUAAAACAUAUUCUUCCUAGCAACAAGUGAUCAUGCCAAUUUGUGCAAAACAUUUUUCUGGGUUGUAGCUUAACUGUAAGUAGCCACAUUUUAAUCAUAGACCGAUUUCCAAACUCUUUGUGUAGCAUGUUAAAUAAUUGUUUUCUGUUUCUGUAUUCUUGGACAUGAUGUGUAUAUCAGCAGUAGCUCAUGGGUACAAAUAAAAUAGUUACUUGACAAACA